CUAUUCUAUAUCAAUCACAUAUCAGAAACAGAACUUUUUUCCACAGCAUUUUUCUUUCAUUAAUUUCAGGUAAAUUCAUUAAUUCUCAGAUGAUGCAAAUGCAAAACUGUAACUUCAAAUGAACCAGAAUCAGAUGAU